UAAGUACUCCCUCCGUCCAACAAAAGAUGUCUCAAGUUUGUCAAAAUUUGAAUUGGAUGUAUCUAGACAUGACUUAGUGUAUAGAUGCAUUCAACUUUAGUCAAAGUUGGAUAUCCUUUGUUGGACGGAGGAAGUAAUAU
rfam:Brachypodium distachyon strain Bd21 chromosome 2, whole genome shotgun sequence.